AUUGCCAUUAUAGCUUUAUACGAUCGAGAAAUCAGAGAUCUGGUUCAUAAAUGUAUUUUCGGCUACACUGAUUUGAACAUUUUGUUUCAUUUAUACAUCAUAAUCAAACUCAUACUCAGAAUCCAUCUCUAAUGUUAAAAUCUCCAUACUGCAGAACAUCCACUUUCCAAGGAUCGUUCUUUAACCGAAUAGUUAAAACUUGGAAUGUUGGAAAAAUAGCCUCUCCUGAACAGUUCGCCAGCUUCGCUAUUUUUAAAAGCUUUCUGCAUGUGACAUACACCGCGUUGGUCAACAGUACUUUUAAUGUUGAUAUGGCAUGCACUUGGUCGCUCACAAAAGACUGCCCCUGCCACCGUACUUAAUCUGCAUAUUAUGUAAUAUAUAUUUGUAUAGUAAAUUAGAUUUUUUUUUUUGAGGGGGGGGGGGAUUCUAUUACUAAUUUAAUAUUAGUUUAGGGGUUGCGCCUAGCAUGGGUCUCGUUGUACCGCUUGCGCUAUCCCCAUUGGACUUAUAAAUAUUUCUACUAUAUUGUGUGCAAUAAAGCUGAUAGACAGAACUAAUGAUAAAGUUAUUGCCAAAAUGCGAGAUUUAUAAUAUAACAAAUUUUUGGGCCAAUUUCUAUUUCAUUUUCUGUUUUAGGUAUCAGCGAAGCAAGGCCGUCGGAAGCGAGGGUGCUGUUUCCAUUUGUAUAAGCAAAACAAAAGAACUAGAAAAGUG